rnacentral:rRNA from 1 species
UACGGGGGGGCUAGCGUUGUUCGGAAUUACUGGGCGUAAAGGGCGCGUAGGCGGCCUACUAAGUCGGACGUGAAAUCCCUCGGCUCAACCGGGGAACUGCGUCCGAUACUGGUGGGCUCGAAUCCGGGAGAGGGAUGUGGAAUUCCAGGUGUAGCGGUGAAAUGCGUAGAUAUCUGGAGGAACACCGGUGGCGAAGGCGGCAUCCUGGACCGGUAUUGACGCUGAUGCGCGAAAGCCAGGGGAGCAAACGGG